GACUUGUCCAAAGCUAGUAGAUUAUCUCAAUUGAUCUCCUCAUUCUCUCUUUCCUCCUUUCCCACUACUGCUCUUGACUAGUUGUUG
ensembl:misc_RNA Y_RNA Y RNA